UGGGGAAUAUUGGACAAUGGGCGCAAGCCUGAUCCAGCCAUGCCGCGUGAGUGAUGAAGGCCCUAGGGUUGUACAGCUCUUUCACCGGUGAAGAUAAUGACGGUAACCGGAGAAGAAGCCCCGGCUAACUUCGUGCCAGCAGCCGCGGUAAUACGAAGGGGGCUAGCGUUGUUCGGAUUUACUGGGCGUAAAGCGCACGUAGGCGGACUUUUAAGUCAGGGGUGAAAUCCCGGGGCUCAACCCCGGAACUGCCUUUGAUACUGGAAGUCUUGAGUAUGGUAGAGGUGAGUGGAAUUCCGAGUGUAGAGGUGAAAUUCGUAGAUAUUCGGAGGAACACCAGUGGCGAAGGCGGCUCACUAGACCAUUACUGACGCUGAGGUGCGAAAGCGUGGGGAGCAAACAGG
rnacentral:rRNA from 1 species